rnacentral:rRNA from 1 species
GUGAGGAAUAUUGGUCAAUGGGCGAGAGCCUGAACCAGCCAAGUCGCGUGAAGGAAGAAGGAUCUAUGGUUCGUAAACUUCUUUUGCAGGGGAAUAAAGUGCAGGACGUGUCCUGUUUUGUAUGUACCCUGAGAAUAAGGAUCGGCUAACUCCGUGCCAGCAGCCGCGGUAAUACGGAGGAUCCGAGCGUUAUCCGGAUUUAUUGGGUUUAAAGGGUGCGUAGGUGGUUUGAUAAGUCAGCGGUGAAAGUCCAUGGCUCAACCAUGGAAUUGCCGUUGAAACUGUCGGUCUUGAGUGUAGAUGAGGUAGGCGGAAUUCGUAGUGUAGCGGUGAAAUGCAUAGAUAUCACGCAGAACUCCGAUUGCGAAGGCAGCUUACUAAGCUACAACUGACACUGAAGCACGAAAGCGUGGGGAUCAAACAGGAUUAGAUACCCUAGUAGUCC